AGUGAACGCUGGCGGCGUGCCUAAUACAUGCAAGUCGAACGGAGUGGCGCCCGGGUGAGUAAUAUAUAGCUAAAUUGCCCAUUACUAAGGGACAACAGUUGGAAACGAAUGCUAAUACCUUAUAGGAAUGGAUAGGGCUAUAGCGUAUCAGCUAGUUGGUAAGGUAACGGCUUACCAAGGCUCUGACGCGUAACUGGUCUGAGGGGGUGAUCAGUCACACGGGAACUGAGACACGGUCCAGACACCUGCGGGAGGUAGCAGUAGGGAGUAAUGCUCAAGGGGGGAAGCCCUGAGGCAGCAACGCCGCGUGGAGGAGUACACUUUUCGGAGCGUAGACUCCGUUUCUUGGGAAAGCGGUACCCAAGGAAUAAGCACCGGCUAACUCCGUGCCAGCAGCCGCGGUAAUAC
rnacentral:rRNA from 1 species